rnacentral:rRNA from 1 species
UACGAAGGGGGCUAGCGUUGCUCGGAAUUACUGGGCGUAAAGGGCUCGUAGGCGGCCAACUAAGUCAUACGUGAAAUCCCUCAGCUUAACUGGGGAACUGCGUGUGAUACUGGAUGGCUUGGAUUUGGGAGAGGGAUGCGGAAUUCCAGGUAUAGCGGUGAAAUGCGUAGAUAUCUGGAGGAACACCGGUGGCGAAGGCGGCAUCCUGGACCAAUAUUGACGCUGAGGAGCGAAAGCCAGGGGAGCAAAGCGGG